CCUACGGGUGGCAGCAGUGAGGAAUAUUGGUCAAUGGACGAGAGUCUGAACCAGCCAAGUAGCGUGAAGGAUGACUGCCCUAUGGGUUGUAAACUUCUUUUAUAUGGGAAUAAAACGUUCCACGUGUGGGAUUUUGUAUGUACUUUAUGAAUAAGGAUCGGCUAACUCCGUGCCAGCAGCCGCGGUAAUACGGAGGAUCCGAGCGUUAUCCGGAUUUAUUGGGUUUAAAGGGAGCGUAGGUGGAUUGUUAAGUCAGUUGUGAAAGUUUGCGGCUCAACCGUAAAAUUGCAGUUGAAACUGGCAGUCUUGAGUACAGUAGAGGUGGGCGGAAUUCGUGGUGUAGCGGUGAAAUGCUUAGAUAUCACGAAGAACUCCGAUUGCGAAGGCAGUUCACUGGACUGCAACUGACACUGAGGCUCGAAAGUGUGGGUAUCAAACAGGAUUAGAUACCCGAGUAGUC
rnacentral:rRNA from 1 species